GAACACAGAAAUAUAUAUUGGAAACUUUGAACUUUAUUUUGUGUUUUAUAAUAUCAAAUAGAAUCAUAUUUUAACACCCAAAUGGUUUAAAAUGAGCUCUGAAUUAACUUUGGACGAGUUUGAUGGUUCCAAUUGCGUCGAUCGUGUCGUUUCUUUUGGAGGAAAUGGAGCAGUUGCAGGUAAAAUAGGUAGAGAGAGGUCCGAGACCGACUGACCGAGUUGGCAGCAUCAGUAUGCGAACUAUGGCAGC